ensembl:lncRNA
ACUGACUGACAGCUGAUUACAGCUUUUAUUGUGAUGUUUCUGUGGCUUCGUUUUGUCCAUUAUGAUGGUGGGCAAAAUAAAGCGCAGUAGUUGGAGUAAUUUGCGGCCAGCAGGAAUUCAGUGGGUACUUGUUGCGAGCCGUACGGCGGCGGCAGCGUCCUGUCAAAUAGUAAUGCGCAUAGCCUUCAGUCGUCAGACAGGGGAGUAACCAGACUAAGCAGGCAGGGAAACAACUCCGAUCUAACCUUCUCAUUUAUUAUCUGUGUUGAUUUUAAUGUUCGUUAAACGUGCGUUUCCUUUCCUCAGACAGUCAAGUUUAGGAUCCCGAUAUAUGUAUAUAUAUUUAUUUUUUUCUUGGUCACAUGGCUUGGGAGAAUUCAAUAACAACAAAAAAUGGCGACAAUCACGUUGCUCUGUGGGGUCUUGCUGCGUCAUUAAAAAUAUUCAUGUCAAUACGGGAAGCGGAGCGCGGAAAUUGCAGAAGUUGCGUGAACGGCCUCGCCUGACACGGGCAUUUUGGAGCAGUGCCCUGUUCGGUGGGGUUAAUCGAGUUGUUUACAUGAAGUGCGGAGGGGCGGACGGAAGAAGACGACGACAACGCGGAGGAGGAGCUGUUACGUCUGCCCGCAACGCCAGCGGUCUGCCGGAGACGCUCCUUGAUACGGGAGGGGGCGGAGCCAGACGCCAGAAUCAUAACAAGUCUGACGUCACUCCGCCGUGUGGCUGCUAAGAAUAAUAUAGUCAUUUGCAAAUAGGGUGGAAAUCCUCACACGUCCACAGUCUUCAGUAUUAGAAGUUCUUCUUUAUUACAGAGAAUUAAGCGUAUUGUUUAUUUUUCAACAACUUUGUCUAAAGUUUGUUCCCUCAUUGUUGUCCAAUACAGUUUAAAUUAUGUUGUUGGCUAAAGCUAUUUUUUGCAUGCAUAGAAUAUCCUUUAUUCAUUUUGUGAAUUAGCUCCAUUCUUAAAAAAUAUGAUUUUUAAUUAACCCAAAUUAGUAUAUUUCCCCUUUUUAGUUUUUUUUCCUUAAGCUUACAUGUGUUUAAUAGGGUUCAAAUCUUACAGUUUUUAAGUUUAUUAGGGAAGGAGGAGUUCAGCAACGUAUAUUAAGCAUGUUUGCAUUAUGUGAAAGAACUACUUAGAAAUUCAGAAGAUGAGUUAAAUUCUGGUUGAGGAAGUACUUUGGAGUCACGAAAAGUGCAAAGUGCAAAGGGGAAAACAUGGUUGACAUCACGCAACAGGCAAAGUGGAUGAUUCAUGGAGGAAAUUCCUGGACUGCUAGAUUUGACAGGCUGCCCUGGUUCAGUUAUCACAGUGCUGAUGCUGUCCCCAUAGAAGGUACAGUACUGUGAUAACUGAAGGAUGGCUGCCAACUUGACACAUACACAGGGGUGAGAAGACCAAGCAACAGCUGUAAGUAUGAAAGCAAAACGUUUGUCACUGAUGUGUCUGGAUAAUAAAUGGGUUACGUGAUGUAAAAAGUGCAUGAGUUUUUAUUUUCAAAGGUAUUUAAAAAAAAUAUGAUCAAAUAACAGAAACUAAUAAUCUCUAACCUUGGUUUUACUCUGUAGGUUAUAUUAAUUUAGACCUAUUUAAGCAUCUAAAUGUAUUUCUGAGAAACAAGAAGAACAUAGAAACUCCACACAGAAAAGACCCACGGGGACUUUUUGCUCAACGGGGAUAACUCAUAAAACACAUGUAAGCAUUAGAAAUAAAAGUUUAAAGUUUUAUACAACAAGCCAAAGAGUACAGCACAAAAGCCAAGACUAAAGUUGAAUAACAGCUUGGGUUAGCUCUCCUUUCAUCGCCAACUUGAACUUAAAAAAAUAAGUUUUAUGUGGACUUUUUAUAGUAGUAAAAAA